ACUGUGGAGACAGGACUUUGACUACCAGGUGUAGUGCAGAAGGCUGGAUAAUUGGAGGAGGCAGAAAAUUAGUGCAGAGAAGAUGGCCAAAUUGCAGGUCAGCAUGGUUUGGUGUAAUUAUUGGUUAACCCUCUCCUGUCUGUUAACCAAAAACUACUUGUGUGUUUGAGGAACCAGGAAAUCUGCACUGAAGGGACAAGAAUUAUCACUCCCUGCCCAAGCCAACUGAAUUUUUUGAUAGCUAAGGUUUUCAGCAAAUUGUUUUUGGUUUAGUGUUUGAUACUCAGACGAUUGCCAGGAAAACACAGGAAGAAGUGAAUUUUAAGUGCUUGAAAGCCUCCUGACUCAGAAACAAACCUAAUUUUACCUAGUGUGUUUGCCACUUUUUAUCUCUUUUGAAAAGACUUAUAGGGAGGAAUGUACAUAAUCAGGAAAGGGCAUCUAUGCUCUGUACCUCCGAUUCUCCUUGACAGAUGCAAAAAGCUAAUUGGUAUUAGCAAAUGUGCCCAUUGAAAGCAAGCAUAUUUUAGUAACACAAGUGUACACUGUAGUGAUGGUGAGUACAAUCCAGCAGCUAACAGUCUUUAAGUGUUCUUGCACAAUAAUUUCACUUUUAAAAUUUGACUAUCAAUGUUUUAAUAAUAGAAUUGUAACUGUAAUUAAAAUAUUUGAUAAUUUCAAAUUUAUUCUUUUCUUCCACAAGUUCUCUUCAUGAUGGUAAUGUUCACUUUCAGUUGACUAUUGGUUUUAACAACUGGCUGUUCUCUCCACUGGACCAAAAGGUAUAUUUGGUGUAGAUGUAAAUUAUAGUUUCCUUAAUAAAUCUAAGCCAGAAAGAAAUCUCUUUGGUUUUUUCAUACAUGUAUGUACAGCCCUUUAUUAUUCUCUACCUUGUGUCCUUAUUUGUUUCUUUCUUAGCAUGUUCUGUAAUUUAUAAUUUUUUUUCAUUUGCUUAGUGCAUUGUCUGUCUCUCCUAAGUAGAGACAACCUCAUAAGGCAGAGACAUGUUUACUAUUUUUUUUCCUAAUGUGUGGAACUGUGCUUAGUUCACAACCAGUACUCAACUGUUGAAUUGUUCAUACUGCCCAAGGUAAUUUAUAGAUUCAAUGCCAUCCCCAUCAAGCUACCAAUGACUUUCUUCACAGAAUUGGAAAAAACUACUUCAAAGUUCAUAUGGAACCAAAAAAGAGCCUGCAUCGCCAAGUCAAUCCUAAGCCAAAAGAACAAAGCUGGAGGCAUCACGCUACCUGACUUCAAACUAUACUACAAGGCUACAGUAACCAAAACAGCAUGGUACUGGUACCAAAACAGAGAUAUAGAGCAAUGGAACAGAACAGAGCCCUCAGAAAUAACGCCACAUAUCUACAACUAUCUGAUCUUUGACAAACCUGAGAAAAACAAGCAAUGGGGAAAGGAUUCCCUAUUUAAUAAAUGGUGCUGGGAAAACUGGCUAGCCAUAUGUAGAUAGCUGAAACUGGAUCCCUUCCUUACACCUUAUACAAAAAUCAAUUCAAGAUGGAUUAAAGACUUAAACGUUAG
rnacentral:lncRNA from 1 species